UCCCUGGUUGAUCCUGCCAGUAGUCAUAUGCUUGUCUCUAAGAUUAAGCCAUGCAUGUCUCAGUGCAAGCCGCAUUAAGGUGAAACCGCGAAAGGCUCAUUAAAUCAGUUGUGGUUCCUUAGAUCGUACCCAAGUUACUUGGAUAACUGUGGUAAUUCUAGAGCUAAUACAUGCCGACAGAGUUCCGACCGUCGCGGCGCCCUCGGGCGUCGCUCGCGGGAGGAACGCUUUUAUUAGAUCAAAACCGGCCCGUCGCGGCGCGCUUCGUGCGCGUCCCGAUCGCGGCCCGCGCAAAGACCUGGUGACUCUGAAUAACUUCGAGCUGAUCGCACGGUCUCCGUACCGGCGACGCAUCUUUCAAAUGUCUGCCUUAUCAACUGUCGAUGGUAGGUUCCAUGCCUACCAUGGUGGUAACGGGUAACGGGGAAUCAGGGUUCGAUUCCGGAGAGGGAGCCUGAGAAACGGCUACCACAUCCAAGGAAGGCAGCAGGCGCGCAAAUUACCCACUCCCGGAACGGGGAGGUAGUGACGAAAAAUAACGAUACGGGACUCAUCCGAGGCCCCGUAAUCGGAAUGAGAACACUUUAAAACCUUUAAACGAGGAUCAAUUGGAGGGCAAGUCUGGUGCCAGCAGCCGCGGUAAUUCCAGCUCCAAUAGCGUAUAUUAAAGUUGUUGCGGUUUAAAAAGCUCGUAGUCGGAUCUGUGUCUGGACGGUGCCGGACCACCCUGGCGGUCCGUCGUGUCGCGGCCGGCCGUGUCGCGGGACCACGUGUCCCGUCGGCGCGGUCGCCGUCGCG
rnacentral:ncRNA from 1 species